rnacentral:lncRNA from 1 species
UACAUGCGUGUUAUUUACCUGAGGACAUACUUACGACUUUCACUUUAGAAUUAAAAGAUUUUAGUUGAAGUUAAAGAUUCAUAAGAAGUUUCCUAGUAAAGCUAUUUUCUACAUAUUUUUUAUUCAAAUCCGUAGAAACAUUGCAGGAAAUUCUUGGAAUGUAAAUUAAAGACAUGGAGAUAUCUUUGAAAUUGUGUGAGACGAGGACAAUUUAAAAAUCAUAAUUUGCUGCCUUAUUUAAUUUGGUUACAAUAAUCUUAUCUUAAUAUACAAAAGCAUAACUACAAUUUGAUGGCAACAUAAUAACUAAUGGGAAUAUGGUCAUAUGGGAGUGAUCACUUUAGUACAUCUACAUCGUCUACCCACACACUUCGCUACAUAUGGUCCUUGGCACAAAUUUGGUGGACAAUCAGAAUCCCUGAAACAUCUAUUAAUACCUAGAAUGAAAAAUGAGAAUAAAAUAAUUUAAAUAAUAUGCGUUAAAUGUUUAUACAAAGUAACGAAUGAAUUUGUAAAGAAUAAAAAAUGGAUUACUUGCAAUAGUCGAUGGCACAAGAAAUAUGAAAGUAAAGAAAAUCAUUACAUAAAUAAACUUGACAAUUUUAGUCAUAGUUCCUCUUUGCAAUUAAGAAAUAGUUUUAUCAGUUUAUAUUUGUUAUGGUUUCACCUCUCCUCAC